rnacentral:lncRNA from 1 species
UGCAAUUUCAUUGAUCAAAAAAAUGUUUCGUGUUGAUUUAUUUUUAUUUCUAUCUUGUCCACUAAAAAUUUGAUAGCUAUGGUACCCACACACAUACUAAUCAACUUAACUCUCAUGAACCCCACCUAAUAUAACAAAACAAUACACACAACACCUCACCUCUCUCCUCGGAUUUCACGUUUUCUCUUUCACAAGACAACAACCACCCACAAAAGAAAUAUACACAUGAAAAGGGAGAUGAAAACAGGAGGGAGGAGCUUCCAUGAAUGUAUCAUGAUCUUCUCCACAAUUCAAUUCCACUAACAACAACAUACUGUACCCAUUUUUAAUAAUUUCUACAAUUAACAACCGUAACCAAUAACAAUCAGCAACAACACUCCUUUUUGGCUCCAAUUUUCUCAUCGGAAAACACCAUUAAAACUGCCCUCUACCAUUAAUUUUCAAGUGAAUAGCAACCAGUAACAACUCUUCUCGAAUUCCCUCUGUUGAACCAGUUCUGGCUCCAACCAGAACACUUCAUCUGCCUGUUUCUCCACUGGAAAAAACCACUCUCGCCUUCAUCCCUCGAAAUCCAACCACCAAUACUCUGAAACACCCAUCUCUGAUGGAUUCCUUCCGUCCAUCAAGCAUUCCUUUACCUCCGAACCCUCAAAACUGAUUUUCACCCCUUAAACGAUUGACCAAAUUACAAGUUGGGUUUAAAAAUUUGCUUGGGUUUGUUUUGCUAUCAAAUGGGUCGCUCGAACUUGGUUUUGAUGGGAUUGAUUAUUUUAAUUUGAGGUUUAGAGAGAUGGUAAUGCUCAAUGCGGUAAAUAAAGGGAGAAAAAUGCUUUGAAAUAAAACGAAGCUGUCCAAGAACUGAAACUUCCCAUUUUGU